AUAAUCUGUGCUAGGUACGGAUAUCGCAGUAGUACAUUCAAACUGUUUCCGGUGUUUUCAUCACUAACUUUUCUUUAACAAUAUGAGGUUAAGCAUUAUUCUGAGCGUUGUUCUCCUUCUCCUGAACCUGGUUCGACCAGGUUUAUCCUUCCCUCGGCAGGAACUCAAGACUAGAGAGGAGAUCAUGAAUUAUCUUCUUGAGAAGGUUACAGAGGAAGGGAAGAAUCUUCCUCUAGAUGAUGAGGUUCUUGAUGAUGAGGAUGAUAUUGAAGAUGAAAUAGAUGCUUUACUUUAUGAAUAACAUUAUUUCUCCUCUUUCCAUCCCCCACAAUAUAACAAACACCUUAAACCUGUCAUAAUUUAUCCAUCAACAUAUAAUAGUCAUCAUCAAUUUAAUUCAUUUCAUGAAAUAUAUAUUUUAUCCAUAACAAUUUA